rnacentral:rRNA from 1 species
CAACUUUCAGCAAUGGAUCUCUUGGCUCUUGCAUCGAUGAAGAACGCAGCGAAAUGCGAUACGUAAUGUGAACUGCAGACUCGUGAUUCAUCGAAAUUUUGAACGCACAUUGCACCUCGUGGCUAUUCCACUUGGUAUGCUUGUUUGAGUGUCUUU